CAGGGAGACAACAAAAUGUUUAAUAUUAUUAUUUUGUCACCUUAGGUCGAUCGGUAUCUCACGUUCUUAAUUUAUUAAGAAUUUCAUUUCCUAAGUUUUUCUAGGUCACACCCAUUAUUUUUCCUGGGCCAUUAGCUCAGGUGGUUAGAGCGCACCCCUGAUAAGGGUGAGGUCCCUGGUUCAAGUCCAGGAUGGCCCAUAUCUCUGUGUUGGGGGUAUAGCUCAGUUGGUAGAGCGCCUGCUUUGCAAGCAGGAUGUCAGCGGUUCGAGUCCGCUUACCUCCACUGAUUACCACCUCUUCCAUAACCGGUAGAAAGGAAAUGUUUUGAGUUGUGAUCAUUAUUCUGAACGAAUCUAGCUUCCUGAUGAAAUCAUUAAGAUGCUGGACUCAUUGAAUUAAUUUCAUUGUUUUCAGAGAACCUUGACAACUGCAUAGAUUAUUUUUAAAGACAAUAAGCAUCUUUAAUGAUGCAGAUUUAUUAUUUGUGCGAAUGCAUUAAUAACAAUUCUAUUAAGCUGAUGCUUCAAUUAUUGAAGUUAUU
rnacentral:tRNA from 1 species